rnacentral:rRNA from 1 species
UACGUAGGGGGCAAGCGUUGUCCGGAAUCAUUGGGCGUAAAGGGCGCGUAGGCGGCGCGGAAAGUCAACGGUGAAAGCUUGGGGCUCAACCCCGAGUCGGCCGUCGAUACUUCCGUGCUCGAGCACUGUAGAGGCAGGUGGAAUUCCAGGUGGUAGCGGUGGAAUGGCGUAGAGAUCCGGAAAGAACACCGGUGGCGAAGGCGGCCUGCUGGGGCAGUAGCUGGACGCUGAUGCGCGACAGCGUGGGGAGCAAACAGG